CCUACGGGUGGCAGCAGUGGGGGAUAUUGCACAAUGGGGGAAACCCUGAUCCAGCGACGCCGCGUGAGUGAAGAAGUAUUUCGGUAUGUAAAGCUCUAUCAGCAGGGAAGAAAGUAAUGACGGUACAUGAGGAAGAAGCCGCGGCUAACUACGUGCCAGCAGCCGCGGUACGACGUAGGGGGCAAUCGUUAUCCGGAAUUACUGGGAGGAAAGGUGGCGGAGGCGGUACUGCAAGUCUGCAGCGAAAGGCGGGGGCUCAACCCCCGCACUACUCCUGAAACUGUGUAACUGGAGUGCAGGAGGGGCAAGUGGAAUUCCUAGUGUAGCGGUGGAAUGCGUAGAUAUUAGGAGGAACACCAGUGGCGAAGGCGAGCUGCUGGACUGUAACUGACGUUGAGGCUCGAAAGCGUGGGGAGCAAACAGGAUUAGAUACCCGUGUAGUC
rnacentral:rRNA from 1 species